UGGAUUCUUUAUAUCCCAGUUUCAUUCUCUUCAUCUCUGUCGUCACUUUCAAAACCCUAACGCCGCUACGCAUCAUCUUCAGCAAAUCCAAAAAUCUUCUUCAGGAAAUCGACAAUGGUGAUUCUCAUGAACCUUUUCACCACUGAUCCCGUAGAUUCGAGCCUCUCUCACAUUCAUCGCUCUACUGGAUUCAUCAUCUUCUCCAAACAAUUCAACAAAUAGCUUAGUUCAACAUGUUGGUAGAAUCUGUGAAUGUUUGGGCAAAAACUUAUGCUAUGAACUACCACAAGUCACUUAACCAUCACAACUUCUAUUUCAAACAACAAGAUUCAAGGAGGCUAACAAGAGAUCUGGGCACUCCAAAUAAGUGAGACAGGCAAGAGUAAGACAGCCGCAAAUAUGUUUUUUUUUGUUUGUUUGAUGCACUUUUUUAGCUUUCAUGAUGCAGGUCCACUGUGAUUGAAUCAUAACUUGGUCUUAAAAGUUGGAGUUCAUAUCAAGGCUUCAAAUCAAGGGUUUGUUGAUCUUCGAUUUGUUUUCUUUUCUGACAAAUAAAUGUCGUCUGCACAAAGAUCUGAUUUUUGCAAUCUCCUUAUUGCCCUUUGGUUCAAGCAAAUCCAUUCGAAAGGAUCCAAACAUCAGAAGUCAUAAAAUACUGGAUAUUGCAAUAAGCAGGAAUAGUAAUAAGUAAUCUCUUAUACCACGACGAUUGAGGUACGGUUUUUUUUGUGUAAAUAUGUGUAUCAGUGUGUUUCUAGGGUUCUGACUAACGGACGUUGAUGAUGGUGUUUUGAUGUCUUAGUAACAAUAGUAGUGGUUGUAGUGGUGGACAGUCGCCGUACCGUAGAAGAAAGUUGAAUAUCAACAGCUAUUUCAUUCAAUCUAGCCGCGACGGCGAUGGUGUUAACAUUUAGUUUUGAAUUAUUAAUCGGAAACGAUAACUAACCCAACCGUAGUAUGGUAGCAGAUGGACCAGCGAGGCUGGUGGAUUUCAUUGUAGAAGAAAGUUGCAAAGAGGGGUACAUAUGUGGGUUUCAUCUGGUUUUUUCGUCUCUCUUUCAUCGAUAUAUUGUCAUUUACCCUCUUAGUUUAACUGUUUUCUUCUGCAGUUGAUGCUUUAGGUGAAUAUUUUACUAAAAUAGUAAUAUCUAAUUCGAUCAGGUAUUUGGUUUAUAUGGAUUAGAUUAAAUUAGACGAAUCCUUUCCAAUUCGAUCAGUGUCAAAGACGUGGCAACAACUUAUUCACCAUCACUGCCUACCUCUCGCACAGUUGGUUCAGCUUUUGUAUAUAAUGAACACCAUAAAGCUGACACAACAUUAGUAUGUAAAAAUGUAACUAAAAGCAAGGCGAGCUCUCAUUCAGCAAUUGGACAGAUCUCACGACACCACAUUAACAAGUGUUAUGGCUAUUCCACUUUAACGUUUGGUUGAAUAUACAAGAGGAUGGUAGCAUCGCCGGUUGCGACAUGGUUAUUUGUUGCGACAUGGUUAUCGGUUGCGACAUGGUUUGUUAUCCUACUGUGGAAACAACUCAACCAUCUUGGGAUUGCUGGAUUUGGUCCGGAGACGUUUCGAUUAGACCCAUAUGUCAAUGUUUCAUGUAGAAAGUUGAGAGUUUUUUUCUUAUCUUUGAUGGUUCAGAAGCAGGCUUACUCAAACCCCAUCGCCCACCCAGUUACUUCAAGAAAAGCUAAGAGUGUUGGAACCAAAUGUGACUGAUUGCAACCUAUAAAAGAGCUAAGAGUUUUAUACUCUCAAUCACGCUGCAACGCGCAAAAUUACAAUCAACCCAUUACUUGAAGAACGGGUCAUGAAUGGUGGUGUGCAUUAUAUUAACCAAUCAAGAGUCAUUGAUUACUGGUGCGGUUGCUGGGAUAAGCUAUACCAUAUGUGCGUAUCCUUUGGAGUUGCUAAAAGCUCGGCUCACCAGAUACCUUUCGCUUUCAAAAUUUCAUCUUCUUAUCAAUAUAAUUUAACUUUAGAAGAUUGUUAUUAUAGAGUUUACAUAAUGUAUGAACAGGGGUUGUUCAUGGUUUAUUUUAAAUCGUUAAACCAUCCAAACCGGUUAUCGUUUGGUUUCGAGGUUGGUUUUUAUAUUUAUUUUUUUGUCGGCCGGUUUCAAUAAACUCGAACCAUAACAAAUGGUUUGGUUUGCGGUUUAUACCGUAAACCAGCCAUAUAAAAACGGACCGAACCGUAAGAUUGACUAUUUAAUUUUUUUUAUAAAAUGUUACAUACACAUAUAAAUGUGCGUCUGCGCCUUAAUUUGUUUCAUCUAUAAUUGUUUUCGAUGUAGGUGUUAUAGACUUUCUUUACAAAGUCUAACCUUGAUUUUUAUGUAAAAGAUGUACUAAACAAAAAAUGUACUUAACAGGACGAGCAAAUUCCUUUUUAGCUUUAUAUAUAUUUUAUAGAAAGGCUUGAUUAAGAUAAAUUCUUUUCAUUUAUCUACAUUUGAUAACAACAUAAAAUGAUCCGUGUUAGCUUUAUUAAACGGGUUAGAUUUAUAAAAAGAGGUUAGUUUUACUAUGUAUCAAAUUUGUUGAACGGGUCAACUUUAAAAACAGGUUUAAUGUAUAAAUUGGUCAUGUUUGGGUUAGAUUUUAUAAGAGUUUACAAGUUUAUCCAAAAGCUCGACUAGAAAACAUUGACUUAUCAUGACUUUUCUUUAUUGGUACUUAAAUACAUAUUUUGUACUAGACUGACAUAUGAAAGGCCUAGUAUCCUCAAAUGGUUCUCAUUAGGUCACUUCACUUGCCCCACCACAAUGCAAGAGCUUUGGUUAAUGAUGAUUUUCAUCAUAAUAUGAUGGUUGCAAGCAACUGAUGAAAUGAAUUUCGACAUUUUAGUUUCUCACAUGAUAGAGAAGGAGUUAAUACUAAAAAUACCUAUAAUUAAAAAAGCUCCAAUAAAAGACAUAGGACGUUUUCAAUCCUAAUGGGUUUGAUUAGAUUCAAACCAAAUAAUUAGAUGGAACAUUGAUGAAUUCCAGGUUAUUGGUUACGAAACUCCAGCAAAUAGAAGUAUUAGAGCAAUAGGCUUUCAAUUUAUAUUUCAAACCAGAAAAAACAUAUUUCUUUCAUUUACUUUUCUUUUCGCUUUUGUUACAUUUGUAGUACGAUGCUUCGUUUUAUUUUAAUCUUUAACUUCAGAUUGCCAUAAUAAGUUCAUGUGUAUAGUUUGUUUAUGAUGUUGUAACUCUGUAGGCUUAUUCGACUGUUGGUACACCUGAUUAUAUUGCUCCUGAAGUUUUGUUGAAAAAAAGAUAUGGAAUGGAAUGUGAUUGGUUUGUAUCUUUUGUGGUAAACAAAACACUUAUUGAGUUAUUGGAAUAUAAUUAUAAUAAGAAUUAACUGAAUCUUGUUUUCCUGCCUGUAGGUGGUCUCUUGGGGCGACCCAAUAUCAAAUGGAUCAUAUAACUUAUGAUGAUUUUGGUGUCGUUGAUUGUUGGUGAUUGCGGCGGCAGAGAUGGUUGGUGUGGUUGUGGCGGAGAUGGUUGAUGGUGGCUACGGUGGUGGCAGAUUAGCAAUGGUUUGAUGGUGGUGGUGAUGAGUGUGGUGGUGGCAAUGUGGUUGAGGGUGGCUGCGGUCGUGGCGUUGGUUGAUGGUGGCUAUGGUGGUGGCGUUGGUUGACGGUAGCUAAGGUGGUGGCUUCGGGUGAUGGUGGUUGUCGCAGAGGCAAUGGUUGGUGUUGGGUAUGUUAUUGGGGAUGGUUCCGGUGGUGACAAGGCUCGCCCUUCGAGAAGGGCUACUUAGAAAAAUAACAACACUUUUUCCCUUUGCCGUUAUUGUUGAGGUUUUUUCUAUAUGCAGUUGUGGUGGUGCCGAGUCCAUUCAUAUCUUAUACCCUGCAGUGCUAUGAUGAAUACCUACAUAAGUGUCUUGAGAAAGCUGCAGAAGCAAUGGGAAUUUCAACGUGGGGUAUCCCACCUGAUGGUGCGGGCUCUUAUAAUGACGAACAUGUGGAUACCGAUUUCUUUUGUUAUUGUGGUGAUUACAAUGGACCGUAUGGCAGAUUUUUUUCUGAAUUGGUACUCCCAGUAUCUCAUUGAUAAUGGAGACAGGGUACUAACCAAGGCCAAAUUGGCCUUUAGAGAUACCCUCAUUUCUGUGAAAUUAUCAGGCAUUUAUUGGUGGUAGGCAUUUAUUGGUGGUACGAAACAAACGGCCAUGCAGCUGAACUGACAGUUGGAUAUUACAACCCGGUCAACCGUGAUGGAUAUGCUCCAAUUGCUUCAUUGUUAAAGAAGCAUGAAGCUGCUUUAAACCUUACAUGUGUUGAUCUGUCUACAGUAGAAGAACAAAAAGACUUUCCGGAAGCAAAGGUUGAUGAUCCUGAAGGGUUAGUUUGCCAGGUAGUGUAGGUAGGUGUUAAUUUUUAAACUAGUGAAAUUUUGGGGUUAUUUUUGGGUAGUUUAGAAUGUAGCGUUCCUAAUUGAGAAUGGCAGAUAAAGAGGGCUGGGAGUGAUGGUCACCCUACGCCCUCUUAAUAGUUUUUUUUUUGGUAUUGUUAUGUGGUUUAUAGAUGGUCCCUGGGUAGUGGUUUGUUGCUCUGCUUAACUUCGAGUUUUGUAUAGCGUUGAGUGAUUAUAAGACUAAACUGGACUUAAUAUAGGAUGGUUGUAGUUUUCGUGUGAAGGGUUUGUAAAGUAUGACAACGAUUUAAAGUAUAAAUGUAUGAAAAAUGUGUUGCAACGUGCUCUUAUAUG